rnacentral:miRNA from 1 species
AAUCACUGGCCUGUCCAAACAGA